rnacentral:rRNA from 1 species
UACGGAGGGAGCUAGCGUUGUUCGGAAUUACUGGGCGUAAAGCGCGCGUAGGCGGCUUUGUAAGUUAGAGGUGAAAGCCCGGGGCUCAACCCCGGAACUGCCUUUAAGACUGCAUCGCCUGAAUCCGGGAGAGGUGAGUGGAAUUCCGAGUGUAGAGGUGAAAUUCGUAGAUAUUCGGAAGAACACCAGUGGCGAAGGCGGCUCACUGGACCGGUAUUGACGCUGUGACGCGAAAGCGUGGGGAGCAAACAGG